AGCUAAUCUGAAGAAAGAGACAUCAGAGGUUACUCACUGGUGUGCACUGGGCUGUGAUGAGAAGGACAGCGAGCAGAAGCACCACCUUCAUCUUUCCCUGCUCAACCUACAAGCAGAACAAGAGCAAUGGAGAAAGCAUUGACCUUAUGCUCAAGCCCCAGGGGCCAGUUACCAGUGGACAAGACUUGCUUUAUCCCGGGCGUGCCAGCUACACAGCUAUCUCCGGGGAUGAAGGGCUGGAGGGUCAAGCUACAACAUCAUGCCCCUUGACAACAUUAUGCAGGACGGGAAGGAGCCAGGCCCAGAAGAGCACCAUUGUCUGCUCCUGUGUACAUGAAUAUUCAGAAGAAGCAAACCCCUAAGGCAGAAGUCUUAGUCGUAAUCUGUCACCCAGCCUAGUGUGCAGUGGCAUCAGCUCAAGAAAUGUCAACCUCCUGAUCUGAAGUGAUCCUCCUGCCUCAGGGUCCUGAAUGGGCAGUGGCAGCUAGUAAGAACUCAGCCAACACUGGGGAGCAGCAGACGCAGGAGGACGCGCUUGGAUCGGGGCCUCAGCACCUGCGGUUCGGGAGACACAGGUCACUAGCCAGGAGCCGAGUCACAUUCCCUACAGAAUUUCCUAUAACUGGAGCUCACAGUGUGUGGACCCAAGCUAAUCUGAAGAAAGAGACAUCAGAGGUUACUCACUGGUGUGCACUGGGCUGUGAUGAGAAGGACAGCGAGCAGAAGCACCACCUUCAU